UAAGGCAAUGUAGGCGGAAUACCUGUAGAGUGUUCAGUUUUAUGAAAAGCUUUGACUAAAAAUUAUACAUAUUAUGCAAAAUGCUACAGCAACAUAAGGUUAAGGUAGAAACUGUUCAACUCCUCCACAUGCAAUUUAGAGUUCUAACAGUACCCAGCAACCAAGCUUCACACCUGAAGAAGUAGUCAUUGCUUUCAUUCUCUGUUGACUGAUGUGUGAGUGAAACGUCUGCCCAUCAGCUCUGCCAAGCAUUCUGAGGCACUCUUAGAUCUUUUCUAAGCAGCUCUGAAACACGAAUUCCUGCAAAGAAUUACAAAUUACAGCAGAAUUCCAAAUCUCCACGUGGCACAGUUACUCAUCACAGCACAACAAAUCAACAUUACAGACACUUCUGGCUUUCUGAAAUUUAUAUCUGCUGGGUAAAAGAUGGAAAAUAAGGUGCUGGUCAAAGAAACUGCCAGUUGGCCAAGAAUAAGUGUGAAACCAAAGUGAGCAGCUGUGUUUUGUUGGCCACCACUGCUUAUAUUUCUCAGGAGGUGUGGGCAGCAACCAGUAAAGGGGAGACUGCUGUGUGGUCCAACAUGUCAAAGGAUAACAUCUCAAGGUUUCCAGACACAGUUUUAGCAUGAAGGAUGAUGCAGAGCUUUAGUUUUCUUUAUUUUCAUUGACUUGAAAUAAAUAUGAACCCCUAACUGUAGUUU